AACGCUAGCUACAGGCUUAACACAUGCAAGUCGAGGGGAAACGACAUCGAAAGCUUGCUUUUGGUGGGCGUCGACCGGCGCACGGGUGAGUAACGCGUAUCCAACCUGCCCACCACUUGGGGAUAACCUUGCGAAAGUAAGACUAAUACCCAAUGAUAUCCCACGAAGGCAUCCGAAUGGGAUUAAAGAUUUAUCGGUGAUGGAUGGGGAUGCGUCUGAUUAGCUUGUUGGCGGGGUAACGGCCCACCAAGGCUACGAUCAGUAGGGGUUCUGAGAGGAAGGUCCCCCACAUUGGAACUGAGACACGGUCCAAACUCCUACGGGAGGCAGCAGUGAGGAAUAUUGGUCAAUGGGCGGAAGCCUGAACCAGCCAAGUAGCGUGAGGGAUGACUGCCCUAUGGGUUGUAAACCUCUUUUAUAAGGGAAUAAAAUACGGGACGUGUCCUGUUUUGCAUGUACCUUAUGAAUAAGGACCGGCUAAUUCCGUGCCAGCAGCCGCGGUAAUACGGAAGGUCCGGGCGUUAUCCGGAUUUAUUGGGUUUAAAGGGAGCGCAGGCGGUCUUAUAAGCGUGACGUGAAAUGCAGCGGCUCAACCGUAUGAUGUGCGUCGCGAACUGUGAGACUUGAGUGUAUUCGAUGUCAGCGGAAUUUGUGGUGUAGCGGUGAAAUGCUUAGAUAUCACGAAGAACUCCGAUUG
rnacentral:rRNA from 1 species